rnacentral:rRNA from 1 species
GACAGAGGUGCCGAGCGUUAGGCGGAAUCACUGGGCUUAAAGCGCACGUAGGCGGAUCUUUAAGUCAGAGGUGAAAUCCCAAGGCUCAACCUUGGAACUGCCUUUGAUACUGGGGAUCUCGAGUUCGGGAGAGGUGAGUGGAACUGCGAGUGUAGAGGUGAAAUUCGUAGAUAUUCGCAAGAACACCAGUGGCGAAGGCGGCUCACUGGCCCGAUACUGACGCUGAGGUGCGAAAGCGUGGGGAGCAAACAGG